rnacentral:lncRNA from 1 species
UGCACGGGGCCUGCGUCAGCAUCUCAUCGCUUCCUGAAGCCCCGCUGCCUGGAGUGGGGCCCCUUUUGGGUGUGGCUCUUCAGGAGCAAGGCAAAUUGACGCACAGAGAACUUGACAGAUGUGUAAAUGGAACAGCUUCCCGGAGGUACCUCGAGGAGGGCAAGGGUAAUGAAAUGAAUGAAAUGAACCCCUGCACAGCGAGGGAGCACUUACACCCUGACACCCUCCUGCAGGGAGAAGGAAGAUGACAAGGAUCUCUCUGUUGACCUUUUCAUAGUGCAAACAAGCUACUGAUAGAAAAAAGAAAAUGUUUUCAUGCUUAAAAAAAAAAUAAACACCAUCAGCAACCUUUCCCCAUGGGGAGCAGCAGCAGGUGCUACCACAAGAGAGACAGACAGAUGGAUAUAAUUGCCAAGAGGCUCUCAAACUGGGUUCCAAGGAGCCAGGGGUGUGGAGACCCUCUUCAGGACUGUACAGGCGAAGCAGGGGGCUGGGAACAAGGCCGGUUAUUAUAACCCAACAAACUGGGUUCCAAGGAGCCAGGGGUGUGGAGCCCCUCUUCAGGACCGUGCAAGCAGAAGCAGGGGGCUGGGAACAAGGGGGUUAUUACAGCCCAACCCAGAGCAACUCAGCUUUUUCCUCGUCAUCUGUCAGGCUUCCAGGCACAGCAUGAGCCCUGAUGUGCGCUUUCUGCUCCUGCUCCUGCUCCUGCCCCUUCGGAGGCCUGUGCCAGUGGCAGCUGGGCCCGGAGACACCAGGCCGGCACUGCUCUCUUUCGAGGCACCCGUGUUUGUGCCGACGCUGACUCCCGGUUGUCUGCAGCAGCCACGUGGCCGAAAUGGAGCCUCUCCACGGGGGCUCCUUCCCCAGCCCCUGGAUGGCACAGCAGCCUCUCCUGUCUGUCACCACGUGUGACCUGCUCCCUUAGUCUUCAGCCGCUCAUCCACGUCUGCAGGGGCAUCUAACUCUGUCCCAGGGUAUCCCAGACCCUGGCUCACGCCCCAGGCUCUCCAUUCAGGCUCCAUCGUCCACCUCAGACCAUCUCGGGUUUGCUGGUCUUCUGGACUAGCGCAGCCAGAAAGAACCCAGGAAGGAAGCCUCACGUCUGACACAAGAACCUUCGGUGCUAACCCGAGGGCGGUAUGUGCAUCCUCAGCACCUGCCCAUCCGGCACCAUCCUCUGAUCCAGGGACUGUGAGCAACAGGGCCCCGUGGCCAGGACAUCUCUCACCCUCCAGUUAAAAUCUCGCCAGUUGAGUCUGCCCAUGAAAGUAGGCGCUGAACUGCCCAAUAAAUCCACAAGUAAGAGUUGCAAGAAGGAGCCAAAAAGGGCUGAGCUGAAUGACUCAUAUAUGAAAUAAUUUGAUAAUUAAUAUAAAUAGGAAAUUUAAAGUCUCCAGCUGAGUGACAGAAAACACCUUAAAAAGCUCAAGAGAGAGGAAAGGAAGAAAAUAAACCUAUAAUUGCAAAAUAAAAGCAUUGAAAGAAGCCGUGCUCAAGAGACAGGGUCUCACUAUGUUGCCUACGCUGGUCUUGAACUCCUGGGCUCAGGCAAUCCUCUUGCCUCAGCUUCCCAAAGUGCUGGGAUUACAGGCACGAGCCACUGCACCCAGCCUUUAUAUUUCUUAUAUAAAUAAAAUAUAUAGAGAGAUAUACAUAUAUUCUUGUAAGCACCCUCAAUUCAUUUAUGGAACAAGAUA